rnacentral:rRNA from 1 species
GUGCCCUAGAGAAGAGGAUAACAGUUGGGAAACGACUGCUAAGACUCUAUAUGCCUUUAAGACAGAAGUCUGCAAGGGAAAUAUUUAUAGCUCUAGGAUCAGCCUGUACAGUAUCAGUUAGUUGGUGAGGUAAUGGCUCACCAAGACAAUGACGCUUAACUGGUUUGAGAGGAUGAUCAGUCACACUGGAACUGAGACACGGUCCAG